rnacentral:rRNA from 1 species
UGUGGCGACGAUAUCGCAGGGGAUCCACCCGUUCUCAUCCCGAACACGGAAGUUAAGCCCUGUAGAGCCGAAGGUACUUGUCCGGCAACGGACCGGGAGAAUAGGUCAUCGCCACAU